UACGUAGGGUGCAAGCGUUAAUCGGAAUUACUGGGCGUAAAGCGUGCGCAGGCGGUUAUGUAAGACAGGUGUGAAAUCCCCGGGCUUAACCUGGGAACUGCAUUUGUGACUGCAUAGCUAGAGUACGGCAGAGGGGGAUGGAAUUCCGCGUGUAGCAGUGAAAUGCGUAGAUAUGCGGAGGAACACCGAUGGCGAAGGCAAUCCCCUGGGCCUGUACUGACGGCUCGAUGCACGAAAGCGUGGGGAGCAAACAGG
rnacentral:rRNA from 1 species